rnacentral:lncRNA from 7 species
ACAAAACAACUUUUAUCAAACAAUUUAAAUUAUUUAAUUCAUUCUCUUAACUGAUUCAUAGCAAGCUGCAAAAAGUUACCUCUCAGGCUACGUUUGAAGUUAUGUCUACUGCUUAUAUCAAACACUGAAGUUAAUUGUCAGCAAAAUCCUUGUAGAAAUACCAUUGGUAGUGUGCAAAUGAAGGAAGAGUGGAGGAAGGUGAGGUCAGAGGAAAAGGUAGGUCUCACCUAAGCUUGGGACAGACUUCAGGAAAACUGCAUGCCAGUUCUUAAUGCAGUCUUCAAGAGUAAACUCCUGGUAAACCUCCUCUACGUUCAGAUGGAGCCAGUUCAAUCCAGUUUGCAAACUGAAUUUAAUGAUGUGCUGGCUGAGGAAGAAGUGACGUGGGAAGGAGAAUCUGUGAAUGUGAGGGAAGCAAGGAUAAAGGAUCUAGAAGUGCUCCUAGACUGAGGAACAAGAAAUGGCUCCUUGCUUCACUUCUUGUAUUGGGAACCAUGUACUUGUUUUGCCAUCUUGAAGCCCCAAGCAGUCUCUCACAUAUACAAUGUGGCAUGUACAGAUUUAACUAUAUUGUCAUUUGGGAAUAGGAAUACUCAUGUCAAUUCUUCUAUGCAAUCGAUUUGUAUGAUGUACUUGUUUAAGAUUUAUUUUGCAAGCUCUCCUGCUGCCCCUGUUUACCCCUGCAAGAUGGUCCUGCAACAUUCCCUCCUCUCAGCCCCUUGAAAGGAGAUGCAAGCCAACAAAAGACUGUAUUGGCAAUGCCUGUUUCCAGCCCUGUGUAGCUGCUCUGUGUCCACCGUGUACCUUGACACUGGGGUGACCCUGCUGCUAAAACAGCUGCUUCUGUGGCUGCCAGCAGACCUGGUCUUUCAUUAUGUAAUCGUGAAUCAGGAUUGUUACUGCUCAUGUGUAUAAGAGUAUGAACCACACUUCCCUUUCCAUCUUUGGCCAG